rnacentral:rRNA from 1 species
UACGAAGGGGGCUAGCGUUGCUCGGAAUCACUGGGCGUAAAGGGCGCGUAGGCGGGUCUUUAAGUCAGGGGUGAAAUCCUGGAGCUCAACUCCAGAACUGCCUUUGAUACUGAAGAUCUUGAGUUCGGGAGAGGUGAGUGGAACUGCGAGUGUAGAGGUGAAAUUCGUAGAUAUUCGCAAGAACACCAGUGGCGAAGGCGGCUCACUGGCCCGGUACUGACGCUGAGGUGCGAAAGCGUGGGGAGCAAACAGG